GGCUCCUGGAGGGCUGCCUGGGGGAGGCAGACAUGGGAAUGCCAAGGUGGCCAGAUGGUUCCAGGACUACAAUGUCUUUAUUUUUAACUGUUUGCCACUGCUGCCCUCACCCCUGCCCGGCUCUGGAGUACCGUCUGCCCCAGACAAGUGGGAGUGAAAUGGGGGUGGGGGGAAGCACUGAUUCCCAGUUAGGGGGUGCCUAACUGAGCAGUAGGGAUAGAAGGUGUGAACCUGGGAGUGCUUUCAUAAAUUAUUUUCCUUGUAGAUUUUAUUUUUAAUUUAUCUCUGUGACCUGCCAGGGAGAGGGGAGAGAGAGAGAGAUGCUGUUGAGCACAUGACAAAAUAAAAUAAAAUGGAUGAUUCAUUCUUAA
rnacentral:lncRNA from 1 species